rnacentral:rRNA from 1 species
UUGAUGGAGAGUUUGAUCCUGGCUCAGGACGAACGCUGGCGGCGUGCUUAACACAUGCAAGUCGGACGAUGACCCCGGGGUUUCGGCUCUGGGCGAUUAGUGGCGAACG